GAUGAAGAACGCAGUGAAACGCGAUAUUUCUUGUGAAUUGCAGAAGUGAAUCAUCAGUUUUUGAACGCACAUUGCACUUUGGGGUAUCCCCCAAAGUAUACUUGUUUGAGCGUUGUUUCUCUCUUGGAAUUGCUUUGCUCUUCUAAAAUUUCGAAUCAAAUUCGUUUGAAAAACAACACUAUUCAACCUCAGAUCAAGUAGGAUUACCCGCUGAACUUAAGCAUAUCAAUAAGCGGAGGA
rnacentral:misc_RNA from 1 species